GACAGAGGGGGCAAGCGUUGCUCGGAAUUACUGGGCGUAAAGCGUGCGCAGGCGGCGCGUUAAGACAGGUGUGAAAGCCCCGAGCUUAACUUGGGAAUUGCGCUUGUGACUGGCGUGCUGGAGUGUGGCAGAGGGAGGUGGAAUUCCACGUGUAGCAGUGAAAUGCGUAGAUAUGCGGAGGAACACCGAUGGCGAAGGCAGUCCCCUGGGCCUGCACUGACGCUCAUGCACGAAAGCGUGGGGAGCAAACAGG
rnacentral:rRNA from 1 species